GUGCUCGCUUCGGCAGCACAUAUACUAAAAUUGGAACGAUACAGAGAAGAUUAGCAGGAUUCAGCAGAAACUCUACGGUUUUAUGAUAGAGUUUCUGUCAAAUCUU